rnacentral:rRNA from 1 species
GAUGAACGCUGGCGGCGUGCCUAAUACAUGCAAGUCGAGCGAACGGACGAGAAGCUUGCUUCUCUGAUGUUAGCGGCGGACGGGUGAGUAACACGUGGAUAACCUACCUAUAAGACUGGGAUAACUUCGGGAAACCGUAGCUAAUACCGGAUAAUAUUUUGAACCGCAUGGUUCAAAAGUGAAAGACGGUCUUGCUGUCACUUAUAGAUGGAUCCGCGCUGCAUUAGCUAGUUGGUAAGGUAACGGCUUACCAAGGCAACGAUGCAUAGCCGACCUGAGAGGGUGAUCGGCCACACUGGAACUGAGACACGGUCCAGACUCCUACGGGAGGCAGCAGUAGGGAAUCUUCCGCAAUGGGCGAAAGCCUGACGGAGCAACGCCGCGUGAGUGAUGAAGGUCUUCGGAUCGUAAAACCUUGUUAUUAGGGAAGAACAUAUGUGUAAGUAACUGUGCACAUCUUGACGGUACCUAAUCAGAAAGCCACGGCUAACUACGUGCCAGCAGCCGCGGUAAUACGUAGGUGGCAAGCGUUAUCCGGAAUUAUUGGGCGUAAAGCGCGCGUAGGCGGUUUUUUAAGUCUGAUGUGAAAGCCCACGGCUCAACCGUGGAGGGUCAUUGGAAACUGGAAAACUUGAGUGCAGAAGAGGAAAGUGGAAUUCCAUGUGUAGCGGUGAAAUGCGCAGAGAUAUGGAGGAACACCAGUGGCGAAGGCGACUUUCUGGUCUGUAACUGACGCUGAUGUGCGAAAGCGUGGGGAUCAAACAGGAUUAGAUACCCUGGUAGUCCACGCCGUAGACGAUGAGUGCUAAGUGUUAGGGGGUUUCCGCCCCUUAGUGCUGCAGCUAACGCAUUAAGCACUCCGCCUGGGGAGUACGACCGCAAGGUUGAAACUCAAAGGAAUUGACGGGGACCCGCACAAGCGGUGGAGCAUGUGGUUUAAUUCGAAGCAACGCGAAGAACCUUACCAAAUCUUGACAUCCUUUGACAACUCUAGAGAUAGAGCCUUCCCCUUCGGGGGACAAAGUGACAGGUGGUGCAUGGUUGUCGUCAGCUCGUGUCGUGAGAUGUUGGGUUAAGUCCCGCAACGAGCGCAACCCUUAAGCUUAGUUGCCAUCAUUAAGUUGGGCACUCUAAGUUGACUGCCGGUGACAAACCGGAGGAAGGUGGGGAUGACGUCAAAUCAUCAUGCCCCUUAUGAUUUGGGCUACACACGUGCUACAAUGGACAAUACAAAGGGCAGCGAAACCGCGAGGUCAAGCAAAUCCCAUAAAGUUGUUCUCAGUUCGGAUUGUAGUCUGCAACUCGACUACAUGAAGCUGGAAUCGCUAGUAAUCGUAGAUCAGCAUGCUACGGUGAAUACGUUCCCGGGUCU